rnacentral:rRNA from 1 species
CGUCGGUUCUAUUUUGUUGGUUUCUAGGACCGCCGUAAUGAUCAAUAGGGACGGUCGGGGGCAUCAGUAUUCAGCCGUCAGAGGUGAAAUUCUUGGACCGGCUGAAGACUAACUACUGCGAAAGCAUUUGCCAAGGACGUUUUCGCUGAUCAGGAACGAAAGUUAGGGGAUCGAAGACGAUCAGAUACCGUCGUAGUCUUAACCAUAAACUAUGCCGACUAGGGAUCGGACGGAGUUCUUUCUAGACCCGUUCGGCACCUUUCGAGAAAUCAAAGUGCGUGGGCUCCAGGGGGAGUAUGGCGGCAACGCUGAAACUUAAAGAAAUUGACGGAAGGGCACCACCAGGGGUGGAACCUGCGGCUUAAUUUGACUCAACACGGGGAAACUCACCAGGUCCGGACACAAUGAGGAUUGACAGAUUGAGAGCUCUUUCUUGAUUUUGUGGGUGGUGGUGCAUGGCCGUUCUUAGUUGGUGGGGUGACUUGUCUGCUUAAUUGCGAUAACGAACGAGACCUUGACCCCUAAAUAGCUCGCACCGCCCCGGCGGUGUUGCGGCUUCUUAGUGGGACUAUCGGCUCAAGCCGAUGGAAGUUCGAGGCAAUAACAGGUCUGUGAUGCCCUUAGAUGUCCUGGGCCGCACGCGCGUUACACUGGCAGAGCCAGCGAGUUUUUCCCUUGGCCGGAAGGCCCGGGUAAUCUUGUGAAACUCCGUCGUGC